rnacentral:rRNA from 1 species
AAAACUUUCAACAACGGAUCUCUUGGCUCUGGCAUCGAUGAAGAACGCAGCGAAAUGCGAUAAGUAAUGUGAAUUGCAGAAUUCAGUGAAUCAUCGAAUCUUUGAACGCACAUUGCGCCCGCCAGUAUUCUGGCGGGCAUGCCUGUUCGAGCGUCAUUACAACCCUCAGGCCCCCGGGCCUGGCGUUGGGGAUCGGCGGAAGCCCCCUGCGGGCACAACGCCGUCCCCCAAAUACAGUGGCGGUCCCGCCGCAGCUUCCAUUGCGUAGUAGCUAACACCUCGCAACUGGAGAGCGGCGCGGCCACGCCGUAAAACACCCAACUUCUGAAUGUUGACCUCGAAUCAGGUAGGAAUACCCGCUGAACUUAAGCAUAUCAAUAAGCGGAGGAAAAGAAACCAACAGGGAUUGCCCCAGUAACGGCGAGUGAAGCGGCAACAGCUCAAAUUUGAAAUCUGGCUCUCGGGCCCGAGUUGUAAUUUGUAGAGGAUGCUUUUGGUGAGGUGCCUUCCGAGUUCCCUGGAACGGGACGCCAUAGAGGGUGAGAGCCCCGUCUGGUUGGACACCGAUCCUCUGUAAAGCUCCUUCGACGAGUCGAGUAGUUUGGGAAUGCUGCUCUAAAUGGGAGGUAUAUGUCUUCUAAAGCUAAAUACCGGCCAGAGACCGAUAGCGCACAAGUAGAGUGAUCGAAAGAUGAAAAGAACUUUGAAAAGAGAGUUAAAAAGUACGUGAAAUCGUUGAAAGGGAAGCGCUUGUGACCAGACUUGGGCUUGGUUGAUCAUCCGGGGUUCUCCCCGGUGCACUCUUCCGGCUCAGGCCAGCAUCAGUUCGCCCUGGGGGAUAAAGGCUUCGGGAAUGUGGCUCUCUCCGGGGAGUGUUAUAGCCCGCUGCGUAAUACCCUGUGGCGGACUGAGGUUCGCGCAUUCGCAAGGAUGCUGGCGUAAUGGUCAUCAGUGACCCGUCUUGAAACACGGACC